rnacentral:rRNA from 1 species
GACGAACGCUGGCGGCGCGCUUAACACAUGCAAGUCGAACGGAAAGGCCUGCUUUCCCUUGUGGAUUGCGGGUACUCGAGUGGCGAACGGGUGAGUAACACGUGAGUGAUCUGCCCCCAACUUGGGUAUAAGCCUGGGAAACUGGGUCUAAUUCCCGAUAGGACUGCAGGGUGGUGCCUGUGGUGGAAGACGAUUUUCUAGUGGUUGGGGAUGAGCUCGCGGCCUAUCAGCUUGUUGGUGGGGUAAUGGCCUACCAAGGCGGCGACGGGUAGCCGGCCUGAGAGGGUGGACGGCCACAUUGGGACUGAGAUACGGCCCAGACUCCUACGGGAGGCAGCAGUGGGGAAUAUUGCACAAUGGGCGGAAGCCUGAUGCAGCGACGCCGCGUGGGGGAUGACGGCCUUCGGGUUGUAAACUCCUUUCGACCGCGAGGAAGCCACCUGGUUGGAAGGGUGGUGACGGUAGUGGUAGAAGAAGCACCGGCUAACUACGUG